rnacentral:pre_miRNA from 1 species
UCAGGCCGCCAGAUCUGGCAGUUCGGAGGCCAGAUCUGGCCGCCGGAUAGCCAGAUCUGGCCUCUGCG